rnacentral:rRNA from 1 species
GACGUAGGGCGCGAGCGUUGUCCGGAUUUAUUGGGCGUAAAGAGCUCGUAGGCGGCUUGUCGCGUCGAAUGUGAAAUCUCGGGGCUCAACUCCGAGCUUGCAUUCGAUACGGGCAGGCUAGAGUUCGGUAGGGGAGACUGGAAUUCCUGGUGUAGCGGUGAAAUGCGCAGAUAUCAGGAGGAACACCGGUGGCGAAGGCGGGUCUCUGGGCAUUAACUGACGCUGAGGAGCGAAAGCAUGGGGAGCGAACAGG